GGAACAGUGGCUCAGUCGUAGAGCGUCUGCUUUGCACACAGAAGGUCUCGGGUUCAAUCCCUGGCAUCUCCA
rnacentral:tRNA from 1 species